ACCUUGUGAUGCCUCUGAAAGUGGCCUCCCUGUUCCUAGUCUAAGAAAUCGAUUUGAUUCUUUGUCUUUUCCCACAGCCUCAUGUCUCCCCUGGGACAGCUUACUAUACGAACAAAAUAUGAAACACGCCUACAGUUUUACAGUGACAGAGCCAAAGCUUUUUCUGUUAUCGUUUGCGUAGCCCUUGGGGAAAUAUCAGAAUGGGGAUUGAUCUUGGCAAAGAGAUAG
rnacentral:lncRNA from 1 species